rnacentral:lncRNA from 1 species
GAUCCUGAUCCUCCUGCUUGUCGCCCUCUCUGUGGCCUAUGCAGCUCCUGGCCCCCGGGGGAUCAUUAUCAACCUACGCUCUAUGGGAUUUACUACAAGUGUCCCUGUGAGCGUGGCCUGACCUGUGAGGGAGACAAGACCAUCGUGGGCUCCAUCACCAACACCAACUUUGGCAUCUGCCAUGACGCUGGACGCUCCAAGCAGUGAGACUGCCCACCCACUCCCACACCUAGCCCAGAAUGC